rnacentral:rRNA from 1 species
CAGGCCUAACACAUGCAAGUCGAGCGGCAGCGCGAGUAGUUUACUACUUGGCGGCGAGCGGCGGACGGCUGAGUAACGCGUGGGAACGUGCCCCAAAGUGAGGGAUAAGCACCGGAAACGGUGUCUAAUACCGCAUAUGAUCUUCGGAUUAAAGCUUUAUGCGCUUUGGGAGCGGCCCGCGUCUGAUUAGAUUGUUGGUGAGGUAAUGGCUCACCAAGUCGACGAUCAGUAGCUGGUCUGAGAGGAUGAUCAGCCAGACUGGAACUGAGAUACGGUCCAGACUCCUACGGGAGGCAGCAGUAAGGAAUCUUCCACAAUGGGGGAAACCCUGAUGGAGCAACGCCGCGUGCAGGAUGAAGGCCUUCGGGUCGUAAACUGCUUUUAUAAGUGAAGAAUAUGACUGUAACUUAUGAAUAAGGAUCGGCUAACUACGUGCCAGCAGCCGCGGUAAU